GAUUCCGUUGGAUUUGGGAAGCUGUGAGCAGAAAUAGAUCAUGUCCGAAUAAGCAGGAUCGUUCCGGUCGAGCACCGGUUCGACCAUGUGUAUAGCCUUCAGAGGAGACUUCCAUCCGGGGAAUUCGAAAACGGUGUCGCGGAGGUCUUUGAAACUCUCGGUGGUUUGCUCAUCGAUCUUGGGAAAAUACAAAAAAGCAGCAAGAGCUGCGGCACCAGAAGUGUAGAAAUAGUAUGUUGGGAUGUUGAAUUCCUUCCCGAUGGGAAGAGCGGAGGUGCAGAAGAGGUCGAUGAUGAAGGCGCGAACGGCGGCGGAUUUAGAGAUUUCUUGGAGGGCACGGCGGACGUGGGGAUCGUUCUGGCGGAUGAAGUCGAACAUGAUUGCGGCGCCGCUUAUGUUUCGGGUAAUUUUAUUGGUGACGCGAGGGAAUUGGCGGAAGGAAAUGGAAGGGUGGGAGUGGGAGAUGCGGCGGAUGUAGGCGGGGAUGCUAGUGAUGUCGACAACGCUGCCGCAGGUGUAGAGAAUGGUGAUGGAGAAUUUGUGGGGGCCGUAGCGGUGGACGAUGAGCUUGCCCAGCUCCACCAUGGAGACGAUGUGCCCCAUCCCUGGAGCUGCGUACAGCACAAUGGCGUCUCCCAUGGCGGCGGCUACGACCCCUGGUGGUAGUUAUGAUUUGUUUGUGUGUCGCGUUUCGUGCUGCAAUUUGAAGUGAUUUGAGAACAGAAAUUCAACUGAAGAGAAUUAAUGCUGGUGAAUGGCCCGUGCGCCCCAACUAAUUUGUUAGGAGGAAGUUAACCAUGAUUUGUUUGUCUUUUUAUUUUUUAUUUUUAUUUUUUUAUCUUGUUUUCUAGUAUAGUAUUACGAUUGGUCAAGAGAUGUGCCACGUAUCUUUCUUUAUAGCCAUGAAUUGAACAAAACUGUUCUGGAUUACCAUUGUUAAAUUCAUAGAACCGUCAGUUUGUUUAAUUACGAUUGUCUCAACUUUUAUUGAGGACUAUUAGAUGUGACGGCAACGGUAGUCUGGUUUUUGCUGCUUGAGAUUAGGGAUUGUUUUUGUUGUUUGUUAUCGUUGCCUACGGGUUUAGUUUGUGAGGAUCUCCUGUUGUAUCUUGGAUUGAUACUCUCACUUUACUUGAGCUUUUUACUUUAUCUGUUGUUGUUUAUCAGGUUCUUUUCGAGCCUUAUACUAAUUUUUAUACUAAUUUUUAUUGUAAUGAAAGUUCUAAUGACCAACAAAAAAUGUGAAAACAUAAGAGCUAAUUGAGUCUCUAGAGAGAAGUGAGGAUUAAAUUGAGUUUUAGAAGAUAAAGUGUGAUCAAACUGAGUUUUAUGAGGCGUAGCUAAAUUAAACAUAUGAUAUUACAUUUUUACCCAUCCACAUCAGCAAUUUUAAAGGCUAUUUGACAAAAAAAAAACAUAAUAAAGUCGAACAAAUUUUAACUUUCAGAGAAUAAAGUUGUGACUUAUAAAUUAUAUUGAGUGUAUGAUCAAAAUUAAAUUCUAUAAAGCGUAUGAUCAAAAUUAAAUUCUAUAAAGCGUAGCUAAACAUAAGUUACUAACCCAUACAUUUUAAGUUGGUCAAUUUUUUUUUAUAUUCAUUUUUAAAUAUACCUUAAAGUAAUUAUUAAAUUAUUCCAAUUUAAUCUUUUUACUAACAGUAACUCCACCCCUAAAAUAUCCCUAGGCUAUUACUCUCUAAGUUAUUGAGGAAGGCCAUUACUCUCCUUAAUGAACAUUAAUAUGCAUCUCAAUCCCUAAACUAAAUAAUUUAGGUAAUUCGUAUUAAAAUAUUAAUUUUUUAUAAAAUAAUAUAAGAUAAUUUUAUUAUAAUUUCGGACAGGAGUGGCUCGAACCGUCUUCCAAAUUUCUCGCAACUUCAGCUCAUUACUCGUAAUCAGGACAUGAGUGGCUCGACCAAUCCGAACCUGCAUUAUUAGUCAUUUUUUUGCAAAUAUGAUAACCUUGAGAGAAAGAUUCGUCGAAACUAUUUGAAAAUAUUGAAUCGUGGUGUAAGGUGAAGGAGCAUAGUUACAUAUUUAGAGGAAAAAAUUAUAAUUUUUUGUAUUAUUUAAUAUUAUUUUGACUUAAUUAACCUAGACCGUUUUAUUACAAAAAAAUUGAAAUCAACAGCCCAAAUUGUGACACGUAAUCUAACAGUAACAAUUCCAUUUUUUUAUCUUUUUCAAGUUCGGAAAAUAUGGACAUUGAUCGUAAAUUCCAACGGUCCAGAUUGUGACACGUUACCUAGCCGUUAGGGUUGAAUUUCAAAUUUUUUUUUAUAGCCGAUGGAAAUCCAACUGCUCAAGUCACGCCACGUUGCUCCAAAAUCCAAAGUCAUUAGUGCACCUGCACUCGAGUCCCACUCCUGAAAUCGUGUCAGUUAACACGCCUCAACUCACUAGUGUAAUUCACGUGCCCGGCGCAAAAAAAUAAAUAUGAAACGUUACUAGCGUCAUGUUGACACUAACCUGACGACACUACGCCUCAAUCUCUGGGUCAGUCAAUUCGAGCCUCGACACUGUGUCUGGUUCACCUUAAGGCCAGUGGAUUGAUUAGGGCUAGAAUUUUUUAUUUUUUUUUUUCGGUGGUUGAAGGGAGGCAUUCGCUUGCCCAAUAGCCUAUGGUAUUUUUGGGCUGGAGUUGCUCUAAAGGAGCCUUGGGGUCAGUUGUUUGGCUUUACUAAGUCUCAUUGGAUUAGAUUGGACUAACUCUUAAAGUAGUCCUAUGUUUGUUCCGCGUAGGGAUUACUUUUAAUGGUACUAUUAGGGACUCGCUGCGACUAACACCAUCGUUAGGUGGUCUUAGCAAGAGCCCCUGAAAACAAUGGGACUGCUAAGACCUGCUUCGUUCUUCUACUUCGUUUGUCUACUACAAUGACUCACUUCUUUGUUCAUCUACAACACCGACUUAUUGCUUGGUUCGUUCUUUCGUUCGUCUGGAGAUAUUGCUCAACUCGCAAGUGUAAUUCACGCGCCCAGUGCAAAAAAAAAAAAAAAAAAAUCCGGAAUGUGACGCCACGCUGACAUCGGUCUGACGCCAAUACACCUCAGUCUCUAGGUUAGUUAAUUCGGGGCUGGGCACUGUGUCAAGUUCACCUUGAGCCCAGUGGAUUGGGUAGGGCUAGAACUUUUUUUUGUCUUGGGUGGGGGGUGGAGGUGGGGGGGGGGGGUGGGAAGGCAUUUGCUUGCCCAGUAGCCUAUGGUAUUUUUGGGUUGAAGUUUCUAUAAAAGAGCCUUUGGGCCUCUUGUUUGGCUUCACUAAGUCUUAUUGGAUUAGACUGGACUAACUCUUAAAGUAGUCAUAUGUUUGUUCCACGCAUGGAUUACCUUUAAUGGUACUAUCAGGGACUUGUUGCGACUAACACCAUCGUUAGGUGGUCUUAGCGAGAGCCCUUGAAAAAAUAAAGGCAUGGGUCUCAAAUCGCUAAGCUCGAACUUGAAAGAAAGUCUGGAUCGGCCGAAUCUGGGUCCUGAGAAGCUAUAACGGUGGUUUGAUUUUUGAAAAUUCUGAUGAUACAAUGACUGCAGGGAAGGGAUCAAAGUAGGUCUAAAUUAGACUAGGAUACACCUUUUUUUUUUCUAGGAAUUAAUAGAGGAGUUGGGCUACGAUGUUCCACGAGCACCUGUAAUUUGUGGCAAAAUGUGUUCUUGGUUGUGAUGGAGGAGUUGGGUGAAGGAAGAUGAACAAAAUUUGACGACCUUUUUUUUUAUGAUUUGAAAAAAUUAAUUACUUUUUUAAUGUCCUACUUUUUAGUCCAACACUUCAACAAACAUUUCACUAUGUUAGUCUAACUUAGUAUAUUCUAAGCCAGUCCAACUUAGUCCCUGAAGCUAAUCCAAUUCGAGAUAGUUUGGUGCAACAAACGCACCCUUUGAGCCUUAAGCCAUCUCAAACUGACCCGGCCAAAGGGUCUUAGGACAAAAUAUAGCCCGUUUUGACAUGAAAUCAGUCUCCAAUCGAGAGCUAGGCCAAAAGGAUUGCUGGACCCAUUGGGCCAUAAAAUAGCCACAAGGCUUGCAAGCUGGCCAACGGAAGCCAGCCAGCCCGAUUUGAGGGGCCCAAUCUGCACAGCCACUUGCUAGCUGAUAGAUUUUUUUUAUUUUUUAUUUUAGGACGAAAUUAAAAAAAAAAUUAAAAAUUCUAAUUUUUUUGUUUCUAUAAAUACCUAAGCUAUUUCUACACACUUUCUCUCAUUUCCUUCAAUACUAUUUUACCUCAUUUUAUUUCAAUUCUUCACUGACACACCCCGAUCCGGAGGAUCCAAGUGUGCUGGCCGUCACGUGGGCGUGACGUAACCAUAAGCACGACACGGAAGCGGAAAAGCAACAUAAAUCAGCAGAAUUUCAAACCAAAUUCAAACAUACCACCUAUGAACAUAACCGGACGAGUUAACAAGUGACCACAUAAGUUCAGAGCAUAGGUUAUCUGCAGUCAAGUAGGACUAAAAUAAGAUACAUCACCCUCGGGUGAGUCCUACAUGUGGAGGGUCUGUCAGAAAGCCGGAAUACAGCCUCGAGAGUCACCAACCGCUAAACUAGAACCUGGAGGGGCGCAAAACAAAAUGAGUGGGUCAGUAAAACUAAUUAGUUUUCCAAAACAGUUCAUUAAAACAAUUAUAUCCCCUCGCCGUAAAAACCUGUAUACUUUCCCAGAAAUAUAUAUAACCAUAUAAAAUCUCAAAACUUAAAUCCCAAAUCUUUAACAUUUUCAAGAAAACAUGCCAUGCCAUAAUUCAAAAUAUAAAUCAGGUGAAAUAAGGAAUCAAUCGGAGACCCUGCAGUUGGUCCUAUACGAUUAAUUCAAUAGCUCAAAUCCCACUAAGCCGGAGUCACCACAGUGACCUAUACGGCCCUACUCUGCACAUGUCUCGGAACUACGUAAGGUAAUCUAUACGAUGAAAGGUGUAAAAAUACGCUCUAGUGCUUCUCUCAUCAUAUCAUCAGCGCGCAUAUCUAAGGUCACCCACCGGUCGGAACCCCUCUAAUGGUCUGUACGACUGGCAUGUCGGAACCCUCACAUGGUCUGUACGACAUCCACCUACUUGGAUCCAAGGCGAGCGUGCGGUGUGGUGAAUAAAAUAAGCACUAACACCUAGGGUGCAGGUUAUGAGCUCAAAACAUCUCAACAACAACAAUUCAAUGAAUAAAUGAACUCACCUGACUUACCUGUGCCUCCACAGCACCAUGCAACAUGUAUGCAUCAUAUAUCAAUCAUAUAACUCAUAUGAAAUUCACAUUUUCCAAAUAAUUCUAUGCAUGGCAUUUUCAAAACAUAAUUUCGCAUAAAAGCAUUUUUCUGGGAAAAACAAUAGUAUAUAGGUAAUACGAAAACAAAACUGCCCACUCACUGAUAAGUCGACGGGUCGUAACCCCCGUGGCGUCCCUGGAUGCGGUCGUCCUCGGGAUACGUCUCUCACCUAUAUGUGAAAACAACUAUAUAAAACAUUAAUUUUAAGCAUAUCACCAAUAAUUCGAAAUAACUUCUCAUACGAUGCUCAAUUUUGGUAUAUGAAUAUACCACAUCGACCUACUCGACGUCACGAGCGUCGGGAUAUUUUUAGAAAAAAUUUUUGACUGCCCACGCGCCACACGUGGCACGGGUCCACGCGCUGGCCACGCGCAGCACGUGCAGCACGUGUCGUCUUCUUCGCAGGGCCUCGCCGGACUGGUUUUCCGGCGGCCGGACUCCGGCCAAACUCCGGCCGAUUUUCAAACUCACUGUUCUCCUUCGUUUUUCACCCAUUUUCUUCGUAUUUUAUACCAAAUUGAAGCCCUAAGAGUGUACUAUCACGAUGGACUAGUUUUAGGGCCUAAAAACUACGAAAUCUCACCUAGCAAAAACCAAAGAUUCGGCCAAACUUGAAACCCACGAUCCCGACGUCCAAAACUCUCCAACGAACGUCCCCGAGCUUCCUUAGGACCUCCUAAAGCUCGCCACAAGCUUGAAAUCUCCUGAAACACAACAUUUUACGUUCGCAUGAACAGUACCUCAAAAAUGGAGGUUCGGGAUCUAGGUGAAAUCGAAGGUUUCACUUCCUAAAACUAGUACCAAUGAACUCAGGACGUCAAAACGAUGAAGAUACAUACCUUAUUUGCCUCGAUCCGUCGAGUUUUUAGAGGGUUUGGGUGUGUGCCAUACAAUGGGUGUGUUUGGCUGUGAGGUCGGGACAGAGAGAGAGAGACUGAGAGAGUGAUCGAGAGGGAGGAGAGAAAGGGACUGAUCUUGUGUGGUCAAACCAAUCCACACCAUCCAAAAUCUCUCUUAAGUCCCUAACCACAAAAAUAUAAAAUCAACUUCCAAAAUAUUUCUAACUUAAACAACUUCUUAAAAGUUUAGGGACCAAGCAUUUUCAAAACGUAAUACACCCAUACCUUGAUACCUGACAAGGGCAUUUUUGUCCUUUCAUAUUCCCGCCAAAAGUACCUCCGGGACGGGCUGUGACAAUCUCCCCUCCUUAUAGAAUUUCGUCCCCGAAUUCCCAUAACCAAAUCAUAAAUCAAUACUCGUAGAAUAAUCUUGGGUACAUCUCUCUCAUCCGGUCUUCCGUCUCCCAAGUAGCUUCCUCUACAGAAUGAUUUCUCCAUAAUACCUUCACCAAACUCACCGUCUUGUUCCUUAGAACUUUAUCCUUCCAAUCCAAUAUAGUGACCGCUUCCUCAUCAUACGUCAAAUCUGGAUUAAUCUCUAACGGUUGAGGAGGAAUCACAUGAGAAGGAUCAGAAAUAUAAUGCCGAAGCAUAGAGACAUGGAACACAUUAUGGACCUUAGAUAACUCCGGAGGCAGUUCCAACCGGUAGGCAACUUCACCAACUCUUUCAAUGAUCACAUAAGGUCCAAUGUAUCUCGGACUUAGCUUUCCUCUUUUCCCAAAUCGUACCACACCUCUCCAAGGUGACAAUUUCAAAAAUACCAAAUCACCCACAUCAUACACUCGAUCAGUAGUAUGCCGAUCCGCUAAACUCUUCUGUCGAUCCUGGGCUGCUUUCAGGUUUGACUUAAUUACCUGAACAUUUUGAAUCGUCUCAUCUACGAUCUCAGGGCCUUCUAAUAUCCGUUCGCCAACCUCAGACCAACAUAAUGGCGUUCGACACGCCCUACCAUAAAGUGCCUCGAAUGGGGACAUACCAAUGCUCGAGUGAAAACUAUUAUUAUAAGCAAACUCCAUUAAGUCCAGACGAUCAUGCCAAGAAUCACCAAAUUGCAGUACUGAAGAUCUCAACAUAUCCUCCAACGUCUGAAUGGUCCUCUCUGAUUGCCCAUCAGUUUGAGGAUGAUAAGCUGUGCUAUACAAUAAUUGAGUACCCAGAGCUUCCUAAAAAGCCACCCAAAAUUUAGAAGUAAACCUCGGGUCUCGAUCAGAGAUAAUAUUUACUGGGACUCCAUGAUACUUUACAAUCUUCGAGAUAAACAACUUAGCCAAUUUAUUUAGAGGGUAUUUCUCCCUCACCGGAAUAAAUGUGCUGACUUAGUAAGUCGAUCCACAAUCACCCAAAUGCCAUCAAAUCCAUUUCGUGUACGGGGAAGUUUAUACACGAAAUCCAUAGUUAUAUUUUCCCAUUUCCACUGGGGAACGGGAAGUGGUUGCAUUCACCCAAAGGGCUUCUUUCUUUCUGAUUUCACUUGCUGGCAAAUAAUGCAUCUACUCACAUAUUCUGCAAUUUCUCUUUUCAUACCCGGCCAAUAAUAAAAUGGUCGAAUGGUAUGAUACAUUUUCGUUCCCCCGGGAUGCAUCGCAUAAGCGGAACAGUGUGCUUCAUCCAGAAUUUCCUUCUUCAAUUCCUCAUUAUUCGGAACAUACAUUCUGUUUUCUUGCAUGAGCAUACCAUCUGAUUCCCGAAUUCUGAGGUCUUUCUUUUUCCCCUCACUUCUUAACUGAACCAACUCCUGAAUUUCCUCAUCCACCAUCUGAGCUGCAAGUAUACGGUCCACCAAAACUGGCCUGACUUGAAAACUAGCAAGAAAGGCUCCACUUGGGUCUUCAAUCUCCAACCUUACUCCCGUUGCCCUCAGUUCAGUAAGAAGAGGAACACGGCAAGCAUAUAAGGCAUUGAGUCUGCCUUGAGGUUUCCUACUCAGAGCAUCUGCUACCACAUUAGCACGACCUGGAUGGUAUUCAAUGGUACAAUCAUAAUCACUUAGCAAUUCCAUCCACCUUCGCUGACGAAGAUUAAGAUCAUGCUGGGUGAAUAAGUACUGAAGACUCUUAUGAUCAGUGAAGAUCUUACAUUUCUCACCAUACAAAUAAUGCCUCCAAAUUUUCAAAGCAAAAACAAUUGCUGCCAAUUCAAGAUCGUGAGUAGGAUAGUUCCUUUCAUGAUUUUUCAACUGCCUAGAAGCAUAGGCAAUCACCUUAUUAUGCUGCAUCAAAACACAUCCCAAACCAUUUAAAGAAGCAUCACUGUAGAUCUCAAAAUUACCGCUAUCAUCAGGAAGUACCAACACCGGUGCAUGGGUGAGGCAAUACUUCAAUUGCUGAAAACUCCGCUCACAAUUUUCAUCCCACUCAAAUUUAACAUCCUUCCUGGUCAACUUUGUCAACGGUAAAGCAAUCAUAGAGAAAUCCUGGACGAACCGUCGAUAAUAACCUGCUAACCCAAGAAAGCUUCGUACCUCCGUGACGGUUCGAGGUUGCUCCCAAUUCUCCACCGCUGUAAUCUUUUGAGGAUCAACUUGAAUUCCUUGAGCCGAUACCACAUGCCCCAAAAAUGCCACUUCAGUCAACCAAAACUGACAUUUACUGAACUUUGCAUACAACUGAUGCUCCCUUAAUUUCCUUAACACCAAAUUAAGGUGUUGGAUAUGAUCUGAUUGGGAUUUAGAGUAUACCAGAAUAUCAUCAAUAAAAACAAUAACAAAUUUAUCAAGAUAUUUCUGGAAUACCUCAUUCAUCUCAUCUCAUCUCAUAAAAGCUGCAGGUGCAUUAGCAAUAGUCAACCCAAAUGGCAUAACCAAAAAUUCAUAAUGCCCGUACCGAGUCCGGAAAGCCGUCUUAGGUACAUCAUCUUCCUUAAUCUUCAAUUGAUAAUACCCAGAUCUCAAAUCAAUCUUAGAAAAUACACACGCACCUUUCAGCUGAUCAAAACAAAUCAUCAAUGCGAGGCAAUGGCAAUGGAUAACGGUUUUUAAUCGUUACCCGGUUCAAUUGCCUGUAAUCAAUACACAAUCGCAAAGUUCCAUCUUUCUUCCUCACAAAUAAUACUGGGGCACCCCAAGGUGAAGAACUAGGCUGAAUAAAACCUUUAUCAAGUAAUUCUUGCAACUGGAUUUUUAAUUCUCUCAACUCAGCAGGAGCCAUUCUAUAAGGAGUUAGAGAUAUAGGAUCCGUACCUGGAAACAAAUCAAUAGCGAAUUCCACCUCCCUGUCUGGUGGCAAUCCCGGCAAAUCAUCAGGAAAACAUCCGGAAAUGUCAUCCGGAUAAUGUCUGACCACACCAACUUCUUCUAUGCUAGUGGGAAUCACAUCAUUUAACACCACAUGUGCCAAAUAUCCCUGACAACCCUUCGAUAACAAUUUCCUCGCCCUUAUGGCAGAAAUAACCCCAUGUCUCACCCCGCUUCUCUCGCCCACAAAAGUAACUUCGGGUAAUCCAGGACGAUAAAAAGUAACUGAUUUACCAUAACAAUCAAUAUGGGCAUGGUUAUAAUGUAACCAAUCCGCUCCUAAAAUCACAUCAAAAUCCACAAUAUCUAACGGAAUAAGAUCAGCGGACAUAAUCACGCCCUCAACCAUCACUGGACACCCAAGAUACACAAUAUCCACAUAACAUUUAUCUCCUCUAGGCAUGGCAAACUCUAAAUCAAAUCCUAGAGGUGAGGGGUGAGGUUGGGUUAUUUGAGCAAACGUAUGAGAAAUCACAGAGUGCGUAGCACCACAAUCAAUCAAAACCUUAGCAAAAUGACCAAGAACAUUCAACGUACCCAUAAUCAAGUCUGGAUGGUUCUGGGCCUCCUGCAGGGAAAUAUGAUUAACUCGCCCCUGAGCUUGCUGACGUCCACAUCGGCCUCUAUUGCCCUGAUUACCUCGUCCCUGAGGAUUACGUCCCUGGCCUGGCUGACUAGGCUGCCUGGAUGAUCUUGCACCACCAGUAGCAAUUUCCCCCUGACGGGGCUGGCCUCCCUGAUGCCACUGCGAUCCACCAGUUGGCAUAGAGGAAUAAGAUGAAUAACCUCCAAAAUCCUGAGAAUACCCAGCCUGAGAGUGAGGCUCCUGGGAAUACUGAUAAGAUCCGAGAGCAUACGGAGCAGCAUCCCCCUGAUAGUGGUAGGCACCACCACGACUCGGCUGGCCAUAACCACCCGGUCCAAAACUCUGCUGAACUGGUGCUGGAGGUGGUAUAGUGGUCUGCUGUGGUCUGUGCUGACCCUGGGGGCACUGAGAAGCCCGAUGUCCCAUCUGCCCACACGUAAAGCAGGCACCAGUACCUCUCCUACACUCACCAUGGUGACGGGAGUUACAACGGCGGCACCAUGGAGCGCCAGAUCCACGAGCAUCCCUCUGACCCUGAAAUCUGGGUCCACCAUAAAAUCUUCCACCACCUCUCCUCGGGCCAGUAAAACUAUAUCCCCCACUAGAAGAACUCGAACUCGCUCCACUCUUCUUAAAACUCUGUGUCUGUCGAGGUCCAGGAAUAGAAAUACCCUUACCCUUAUCAUUCUUCUUCUGACCCUCAUUCUUGUCUUCGUCAUCCUCACUGUCAGGAAGAUUAUCAGAGUCCUCAAUCCUAACCAAAAUCUCGAAAUACUCAUGAUAAUCAGCGCAGGGAAGUGCAUUGGCAAAGGUACGCCACUUCUUCUUAGAUCCCAACUUGAAACGUCGAAGCAUCUCUCCCUGAUUACCAGCUGUAUCAGUGUCAUAACGAGACAAAUCAGUAAACUUUCUAUAAUAUUCAUGUGCCGACAUAUUUCUCUGUUUUAACCUAGUGAAUUCCUGCUUCUUACAGUCAAUAUACUCAGGAGGGACAAAUCUCUUCAUAAAAUGCUCUUUAAACACUUUCCAGUCGGCUGCCGUCUCAGGUGACAUGUACCUAGCUUGAUUCAUCCACCAUGCUGCUGGUUCUCGACCCAAAAACCAAGUGGUGGUCUCCACCCACCUAUUAGCAGGGAGAUUCCCCUGACUCUGCAUCACCUGGAAGGUUUUCUCAAUAUGAUCUAGCCAUUUCUCCGCCCCCUCAUGACUUUCAUUACCCAUAAACCGAUAUAACUUCAAGUUGUACAUGGUCUCCAGAGGUGUCCUCGGAGGAGGGGGAGGACGAAUCACAUUCUGUAAAGCCUGGGCCAUCGCUUCCCCUAGCUGAGUAAUAUCCGGGAAAUUAGGUUCAGAAGUACGGCGGGACUCCCUACGCUCCCUACGAGGCGGCAUGAUUCUGACAGAAAACAUCAAAAGAUCGUUAAGACAUUAACAAAUUUACAGGACUGCAACCUAAGCUCUGAUACCAAACUGACACACCCCGAUCCGGAGGAUCCAAGUGUGCUGGCCGUCACGUGGGCGUGACGUAACCAUAAGCACGACACGGAAGCGGAAAAGCAACAUAAAUCAGCAGAAUUUCAAACCAAAUUCAAACAUAACCACCUAUGAACAUAACCCGACGAGGUUAACAAGUGACCACAUAAGUUCAGAGCAUAGGUUAUCUGCAGUCAAGUAGGACUAAAAUAAGAUACAUCACCCUCGGGUGAGUCCUACAUGUGGAGGGUCUGUCAGAAAGCCGGAAUACAGCCUCGAGAGUCACCAACCGCUAAACUAGAACCUGGAGGGGCGCAAAACAAAAUGAGUGGGUCAGUAAAACUAAUUAGUUUUCCAAAACAGUUCAUUAAAACAAUUAUAUCCCCUCGCCGUAAAAACCUGUAUACUUUCCCAGAAAUAUAUAUAACCAUAUAAAAUCUCAAAAACUUAAAUCCCAAAUCUUUAACAUUUUCAAGAAAAACAUGCCAUGCCAUAAUUCAAAAAUAUAAAUCAGGUGAAAUAAGGAAUCAAUCGGAGACCCUGCAGUUGGUCCUAUACGAUUAAUUCAAUAGCUCAAAUCCCACUAAGCCGGAGUCACCACAGUGACCUAUACGGCCCUACUCUGCACAUCACUCGGAACUACGUAAGGUAGUCUAUACGAUGAAAGGUGUAAAAAUACGCUCUAGUGCUUCCCUCAUCAUAUCAUCAGCGCGCAUAUCUAAGGUCACCCACCGGUCGGAACCCCUCUAAUGGUCUGUACGACUGGCAUGUCGGAACCCUCACAUGGUCUGUACGACAUCCACCUACUUGGAUCCAAGGCGAGCGUGCGGUGUGGUGAAUAAAAUAAGCACUAACACCUAGGGUGCAGGUUAUGAGCUCAAAACAUCUCAACAACAACAAUUCAAUGAAUAAAUGAACUCACCUGACUUACCUGUGCCUCCACAGCACCAUGCAACAUGUAUGCAUCAUAUAUCAAUCAUAUAACUCAUAUGAAAUUCACAUUUUCCAAAUAAUUCUAUGCAUGGAAUUUUCAAAACAUAAUUUCGCAUAAAAGCAUUUUUCUGGGAAAAACAAUAGUAUAUAGGUAAUACGAAAACAAAAUUGCCCACUCACUGAUAAGUCGACGGGUCGUAACCCCCGUGGCGUCCCUGGAUGCGGUCGUCCUCGGGAUACGUCUCUCACCUAUAUGUGAAACAACUAUAAAAACAUUAAUUUUAAGCAUAUCACCAAUAAUUCGAAAUAACUUCUCAUACGAUGCUCAAUUUUGGUAUGAAUAUACCACAUCGACCUACUCGACGUCACGAGCGUCGGGAUAUUUUUAGAAAAAAUUUUUGACUGCCCACGCGCCCCCACGCGCCACACGUGGCACGGGUCCACGCGCUGGCCACGCGCAGCACGUGCAGCACGUGUCGUCUUCUUCGCAGGGCCUCGCCGGACUGGUUUUCCGGCGGCCGGACUCCGGCCAAACUCCGGCCGAUUUUCAAACUCACUGUUCUCCUUCGUUUUUCACCCAUUUUCUUCGUAUUUUAUACCAAAUUGAAGCCCUAAGAGUGUACUAUCAUGAUGGACUAGUUUUAGGGCCUAAAAACUACGAAAUCUCACCUAGCAAAAACCAAAGAUUCGGCCAAACUUGAAACCCACGAUCCCGACGUCCAAAACUCUCCAACGAACGUCCCCGAGCUUCCUUAGGACCUCCUAAAGCUCGCCACAAGCUUGAAAUCUCCUGAAACACAACAUUUUACGUUCGCAUGAUGAACAGUACCUCAAAAAUGGAGGUUCGGGAUCUAGGUGAAAUCGAAGGUUUCACUUCCUAAAACUAGUACCAAUGAACUCAGGACGUCAAAACGAUGAACAAAAUACGAUGAAGAUACCUUACCUUAUUUGCCUCGAUCCGUCGAGUUUUUAGAGGGUUUGGGUGUGUGCCGUACAAUGGGUGUGUUUGGGUGUGAGGUCGGGACAGAGAGAGAGAGACUGAGAGAGUGAUCGAGAGGGAGGAGAGAAAGGGACUGAUCUUGUGUGGUCAAACCAAUCCACACCAUCCAAAAUCUCUCUUAAGUCCCUAACCACAAAAAUAUAAAAUCAACUUCCAAAAUAUUUCUAACUUAAACAACUUCUUAAAAGUUUAGGGACCAAGCAUUUUCAAAACGUAAUACACCCAUACCUUGAUACCUGACAAGGGCAUUUUUGUCCUUUCAUAUUCCCGCCAAAAGUACCUCCGGGACGGGCUGUGACAUUCACACUCUUUAAACUCCUAAUUUGUUGUAAUAUUUAAUAUCUAAGUUGUUGUAGUUUUAAUAUUUAAGAUGUUGUAUUUCAAUUAAGUUGUAAUUCAAUUAAAUUGUGAUAUUUGAAUUAAUGUCUAAGUUGUUAACAUGCAAGUAAAAUUAAAAUAUUUAAUAACAAGAAACUUAAACAACAUUUUGCUCCACGUGUCAUUUGAAAUCAUAUACGAAAAAUUAUUGAGAUUAUAUAAUAAAAUUAACCAAUAAAUUAAAGAACAAACUUAAAAUAAUAAAUUAUUGAGAAGGCUAAAAAAUAGCCGUCUUUGGUUGGAGAUAGGUUUUGUGUCAAAAUGUGCUAAGUUUUAGUCUAUGGCCCUUUGACAUGCUCGAUUGGAGAUUGUAUAUAAAUAUUGUCUGGCAUUGUUUAUUAAAAAAUAAUUUCUUGCAAGACUAUAAUCUAAACGGAAACUAAACAUGGUCCUCUCGGUUGAAGGUGGCCUUUAGCUCACUUAACCGGUUCGCACAUUUGCGGGCUAAAAAGAAGGGAGGCAGAUUUUUUACCCUCCCAUUACCAUACCCUUCCCAUCCCCUUCUACAUUGUGCAGUCAUGGUUAAGCCACGUAAAUAUUUUAUAUUGAUUUUUUAUAGAGAUAAUAAGAUAUGUUGACGUGGCUUAACUGUCACCGCACAAAUAGGAGUGGAUGGGAAGGGCAUAGUAAAAAGGAGGGCAGACAAUCUGCCUCCAAAAAGAAGUCAUUUUGAGUUUGGACAUUGGAUCAUGGGUCGAGAAGAGAAGCCUAAAUUAAGCUUUGUGGAGCGGCUGAUUGAAAAGCACGGGAAAGAAGACGACGGCCGUCGCCAUGUCGUCGUGGAACCGCAAUCGCUGUCGACUUGAAUCAUGUUGCUCCAUAAAUCAAGGCCCCCAAAACCUGAGUGUCCUCUUUCCAUUCAAUUUUUCGAGCCUCUGGUUUCCAAUGGUCAAGUAAAAGAACCCAGUAUGUUGCCUCAAACUGCACCGACUCCACAGCAGUGCUCUCAACUUUGCCAUCCCAACUAUGCUCUCGACAAUGUUGCCUAUACAAAACUUGUCUAACACGCUACCAAAACUGGGUCUUCACUCCAUGGCAAACUUGCCCACACCCACAUGAUCAAAACCUCCUUUAAGCCCUUUAGGUUUUUGCUCAACAAUAUUCUCACCAUGUACUCUAGGCUCGGACAAUUCGACAGUGCACGCCGCCUGUUCGAUAGAAUGCCUAAGCGGAAUCUCAUUUCGUACAACUCCUUGAUUUCUGGAUAUAACGAGGUGGGUCUGUUUGAAAAGGCAAUCGGUGUUUUUAACGAAGCAAGAAUGGCUGGUUUAAAACUUGAUAGGUUUACUUAUGCUGGUGUCUUGAGUGUGUGUGGUCAAACCGGUGAUUUUGAGCUGGGUAAGCUGGUUCAUGGAUUGAUAGUCGUCAAUGGAUCGGGCUCAGAAGUUGUUCUGUUUAAUUCUCUUAUUGAUAUGUACUCCUAGUGCGUCCGAGUUGAUCAUGCUAGGAAGUUGUUUCAGAGUUCGGAUAACUUGGACCAUGUCACAUGGAAUUCCUUGAUUGCUUGCUAUGCUCGAAUUGGUGCUAACGAGGAAACAUUGACCACUCUCGUGAAAAUGCAUCAGUGCGGGUUGAGCUUGAAUACCUAUACACUGGGGAGUGCCCUCAAGGCGUGUGGCAAAAUUCUUGACAAUUCAGGACUAUUUGGGAAAAUACUUCAUGGAUACACGGUGAAACUGGGGUUGGACUUGGAUGUUGUAGUAAGAACAGCAUUGCUUGAUAUGUAUGCAAAGACUUGUGGCUUAGGUGAGGCGAUACAAAUAUUCAAAAUCAUGCCUUACCGCAAUGUUGUUCUCUAUAAUGUCAUGAUUGCGGGGUUCCUCCAAAUAGAGACCUUUUCUUAUGGACAUGCAAAUGAAGUGUUCAAUCUUCUAUCAGAGAUGCAAAGGCUAGGAAUCAAGCCAUCAACAUUUACUUUCUCAAUCAUAUUGAGAACUUGUAAAUCGGUUGAAGCUCUUAAGUAUGGGAAACAAGUUCACUCUCAAGUCUACAAGUAUGACCUACAAGGAGAUGAAUUCAUUGGAAGUGGGCUUAUUGAAUUCUACUCUUCUGUGUGUUUAUCCGAUUAUGCGUUGAGACGCUUUAACUUAACUCCUAGGCUAGAUAUUGUCUUGUGGACAUCCAUGGUUGCAGGUUAUCUCCAAAAUGGGGAAACUGAAAGUGCAUUUGAUUUAUUUUAUAGACUCUUGGAAUUUGGAAUGAAGCCUGAUCAAUUCAUAAUAUCAAGCAUGCUGGGUGCGUGUGCUGAUUUGGCUGCAGCAAGAUCAGGAGAGCAGAUUCAAGGAUAUGCUGUAAAGCUGGAUUCGGGAAAUUCACUGUUGUUCAAAAUUCACAGAUAUGCAUGUAAGCAAAAUCUGGAGAUAUUGAUUCUGCUAAUUUGGCCUUUACAGAGAUAGAGAAUCCUGAUGUGGUUUCCUGGUCCGUGAUGAUAUGUAGCAAAGCACAACAUGGAUGUGCAAAUGAAGCCUUGAAUCUUUUUGAGUUGAUGAAGACUUGUGGAAUUGCACCCAACCACAUCACUUUCCUUGGAGUUCUGAUUGCAUGCAGUCAUGGAUUGUAGAAGAAGGUUUAUGGUAGGUUAUAAAAACUGAAAAUUUAAAUUUCGUUGCUUUUGUUUGAUUUGAAAUAAAAAUCGUAAAGAUAAGGAAACAAGAUUAAAUAACUCCAUUUUCCUUCUCAAAGUUUCUGGGAAAAAUAUGUGAAAUAUGAUACGAAGUAUGUAUAUUUGUAAGAAUUUCCCUACGUAUUCUUCAAGGAACCAAAUACAGUAACAUAAACAAUUUCCCUCCAUUUUCUUCUUCACACAUCUCUUGUUCUUUCUUUUAGUUCAAAUCUUUUUGAAAGUGAAACAAACUUCAUCUUAUGCUUCUCGCUCCUUGUUUUUUGUUCACAAUUCACCAAUGGUUAAUAUUCUGCCCUUCAGUUUUUUCAGUAAGCAAUUUUCCUGAAUUUGGGACUUGGUUGGGAACGUACAAGGUGAUAAGUUGCCGGGAACUGAAAUUAACAAUAGCGUAGGUAAUCCAUCUAAAAAGUAAUUAAGGGAAAAAAAGGGUAGAGCAUUUAGAUGUAAUGAGGAAAAUGUAUUGUUUUGUAGUCUUGAACGGCUGGGAAUCAAUUUAUAAUUGAAUAGGAAUCAUUUGGAGAGAUAUGCCAUUUUGAAAUUUAUUUUGUUGUUUCUAGGUCAUCACGUCAAGCCUUUUCAAUUGCAACCCAAUAUUUGUUUUUUUUAAAUGAACACUUGUGAAUGCAGUUUAAAUGCUCACUUCCAGGGUGUGUUAAUUUCUUGACUCUUCUUGUUAAUGCAGAUAUUUUGAAACAAGGAAGAAAGAUUAUGACAUGUCAACCAAUGUAGAGCACUGUGCCUGCGUUGUUGAUCUCCUAGGUCGUGCAGGAAGGCUAGCAGAUGCUGAGAAGUUCAUUUUCAACUCAUCUUUUGAGGAUAAUCCAGUUAUGUGGCGAGCCUUGUUGAGUGCUUGCAGGGUUUAUAUGGACACUGUUGCUGCAAAACGUGUUGCAGAAAAGCUAAUUGAUCUUGAACCUCAGGCUGCUGCAUCAUAUGUUCUUCUGUACAACAUUUACAAUGAUGCUGGGAUAGAGUUACCGGCCAAAAGAAUUAGGGAACUGAUGAAAAAUCGAGGAGUUAAGAAGGAACCUGGUCUAAGUUGGAUAAAGGUAGGAAACAAAGUUCAUUCUUUUGUUAGUGGCGAUCGGUCUCACCAAAUCGUUCAAUUAAUUUAUACUCGGUUGGAAGAAAUGUUGCAUAAGAUAAAGAAAAUAGAUUGUAUUGUUGGUAAGUUGAUUACUUCUGAACCGAAACUUAAGGACAGCAAAGUGAACUACCACAGUGAAAAGUUAGCUGUAACUUUUGGAAUUAUCAGCUUGCCAGCAUCAGCUCCAGUUAGGGUGAUGAAGAAUUUGGGAGUCUUCUAUGAUUGUCAUACAACAAUGAAGCUCUUCUCUGAGGUGGAAAAAAGAGAAAUAAUCCUAAGAGAUCCUAUUCGUUUUCAUCAUUUCAGAGAUGGUGCUUGUUCUUGUAGAGAUUAUUGGUAGCCGCAUUGUGUAUGUAUUGAGAAUUGAGAUUAUACCUGGGUACCUGGAUAAAUGCUCCCUUGUGGAAGUACAAGAAUCCUUCAGUCAAAACUCAAUGACAGAGAAUAAAUGGAUCCUAUUUGGAAGAAGGUACAUGGGACGAAGCUAAAACAGAUUUGGAAACAUCGUAUGGGAAACAUGUUUGGACUCAUCGGUACACAAAUAUGUCAAAGGAGCCUGGCAUAUUGAGGUAUAAUUUACUGAUCUCAAUGAUUUAAAUUUAGUAUAAUGGAAAGUGCGAGAAAGUUAUUUGCCUUGGCUCAGUUUGUUUCGAUAGAAAAUAGUACACUAAAAAGUUAUGAGUAGACUUUUAACUUUAUAUUUAUUUUAACAUAUCAACAAGUUCUUAGUUUUUCCAGGAAAUAUUUUUGUAGAAAAAAGUGCAAGACUAUAUAAUUUGUUCAUUAUGUUGAAUUGAGACCAUUAUUAGAACACAAUAAGAAAAACCCUAAAUGCUUUGAAAUUGUUUCCUUGUCUGUUUUUCCCCCCAAAAGAAACAUAUUUCCUUAAAUCUUUACAGAAUUGAUUUUUUAGCUUUCCUUCAUCUGUUAUACGAUUCCAUCAUGUUUCCUCUUCCAGCACUUCCAUUUAUUACUGGACAUGCUAGGUUGAGAAGCAAUUGGUGGACUGCUUGGUAGAGAAGCAUUUGACCUUGGAACAGUACCAUCUGUGGCAGGUAACUUUUACUAAAUGUAUCAGUUUUUGUUCUUCCUCGUUCAGAUUACACAACUUUGCUCAAAAAUCCUAAAUUGGAGAUGGUGUUUUCCUUAAGAUGCCAAAUCAGUUGCAAUUCCUCCUAUGAGUUAUGAUUGUUAAAAGGAAGGUCCAUAUUGUUUAUGAUGGAGACGCUUGUUGGAGAUUGAUCUUCAAGCCAAGCAAUUGACCUCAGAAACUCAUCUAUAUUUCAGGUAACUUUUAUUGGCUAAGAUAGUUCUCUAUUUACUUUGGACUUUUAACUGAAAUCUUUGAUCAGUAUAAAUCGGUGUAGCAAGGGGUUGGAAAUUCACUUCUUUAAUUAAUUUUUAUUUUUUUGUUGAUUCUUAGAGUUCUAUUUUUAUUAGGAUCAACUACAGAAAACUCCCCAAACUCUUGGGUCAUUUCCAAGGUACUCCUUCACAUUUUCAAACUUAUGCCCGAAAUAAAAUAAAACCUACAAAUUGACCCUUCCAUUAACUAGCUUAUUAGUAAGUCUUUUUAGUGUCUGCGUGGACACUGUGAAUCCCACGUUUUACGCUUAUGUGGACUCUAAAUUUGUGCCACUUGGAAAAAGAUUUUAUAAUAUGCAUAAGCCUUUGAAAAUAAAGUGAACACCAUGCAUUAGAAGAGCAAAAGAAAAUAACAAUGAAAAGCAAAACAAACAAAACAAAAUCUCUCUUUUUCGGCUUCCUCUCUCUGCAGCCCACUCCAAACAUCCCAUGCCCCAUCCCCCCUUGCCAUUCCCCCAAUGUCUCCUCACUUCACCAAUUCACCAUGUCAUGUAGUCCCUCAAUGAAGUAAAGUUUUAUUAGUUGCUAAGUAACAUGCCCGAACACUAAUUCUUAUUUACUUAAUUUUAUUGGAUUUUUAGGAUGCAAAACCAGCAUGUAAGACUUGUAAGAUCUCUGCUUAAAAAAGAAAACAGAACUCCUCAAAACAUUGUCGAAGUUUUUGGAGUGGAUAACGAGAUUUUAAAUAAUUCAACUUUCGUCAUGAAGGUAAUAAUCAGUACCUUAAUCUAGUAAACAAGGCUUAUGCUGGUUAUACAAGAGUAUUGUACAACAAUGAUCUAAUGUAGAUAUUACCAGCACUAGUGCAAGUAUUGUGUAUUCUACAAACGCACUAGGUCAUGCAAAUAAUCUUAGUCGUAUGUUGAAUAUCCUUCUAGAAGGUUGUUUACUCUUAAAUGAAAUACAAACGUCAUUUUCCAACUGAAUUCGGUUGACAAAUUAAAUGCUGAAAAUCUUGUUUUGUAAUCCUAUUCAAUUAUAUACCAUACUUACUCUUUUCCUGACCAAUUAUAGGUGAUACCUAUAUCCGUGAAGAUGUUACUGUUAAGAGCAGUAUUACAGUUGAGUUGACUCCUUGCAGCCACCGAAGUACUUACCUAUAUAACCAUCUCUUGUGCAACUUCCGGAAGGUACCUGCUGCUUCUUUGUAUUCCCAACCAUGGCUAAAAAUAGGACUAAGCAUGAAUUGAUUUCUCAUGAACGAAGCAGGAGAGCAACCUUAAAAAAGAGGAAGGCUAGCUUCUUCAGAAAGCUGAAUGAGAUCACAACUUUAUGCGGGGUUAUUGCAUGUGCUGUUAUUUACGAUACUUCUGAUACCAAGGUGGACGUGUGGCCUUCUCCACAGGAAGCAUUUUAUGUACUCGAAAAAAUCAAGAAUUUACCUGAAGAAAGGCAAGGUAAGUUUAAACUGGAUCAAGAAUCCUUUCUUAAGAACAAUAUAUCCAAGCAGAACAGACAAUUGGAAAGAGUGAGAUUUAAGAAUCAAGAACUUGAUGAGAAGCUGCUUUUGAUUGAAUACCCGGAACUGGAAGGUAAGAAUUUUCUUGAUCCUGGUCGUCUUGAAAGUUUGAUUGGACUUGAUGAUCAGUUGGAUAAAAGAAUUGAUUUCCUUACUUAGCGGAUUGAGUUCUUCGAGGGUGUGGGGCGCAACCAAGUUGAUGCAGGAGUUGAUUCUAAUGAGAUGGGAGUCGUUGACGACAACCAAGGUUAAUUUGGUGUAUGGAGGUGUAGUAAUUCAACCAAUUCAAAAUAAACUUUGUGAGCAGAGAGCAUAGUGCAUUGUUCCAAAUGUACUUUUAUUUUCGUUUACCUGAAUAAACAUAGUUUUCAUCUUUCAGUUAUGCUCAAAGGUGUUUUAGGUUAAGAUAAUUUUCGCUUCGAUGCGUAAUUUAAACAGUAUUAUGACACUUUGAACGGCUUACAAGGGCAAAUCACUCGUAAGAUCACCUGGUGAAUGACCAAGCAUUCCUUAUUGACCAGGUGACCAAAAAACAUUUCUGUAUAAAACUCUGUGUCUUUAGAAUCCCUAACCCUAGAAUUUGUAGAACUAUCUUAAAACUUUGCACAAAGAACAGAAACAAGAAGAUAUUUUGAAUAACUUCAAAAUCUGAAAAUUGUGUAUAUGAAUUUUGUCAAAACUUAUCAUGUGUUUAUGAAACUAAGCGGACAAUAGCUUACAAUUGUUUGGUGGGGUGCUUCUGUUGAUUUUCCUUGCAGCAAACUAAUACUGCCGAUAUGUUAGAUGAGGCAGUGGAGUAUGUGAAGUUUCUUCAGAGCCAGAUUCAGGUAUUAUUCCUCCGAGGACACACUUGGGAAAGAUUUGAACGGAAAAAAUUUACAUUAGCUUUUCCUUUCUUGCUGCGUCUUUUGAAUAAGAUGUUAUGUCUGUCUGCGGUGUAAUUGAGGUAAUUGAAGGGAAGAUGCAUACUAAAAAAUUCGAAACAUGGCAGGAACUUUCGGAGGAUCAGCGCCGGUGCAAAUGCAUAGCUAAAGAAUGAUCAGAAGGUACCCGAAAUGCCUCCUACUGUCGUACUGUUUAGUGUAAUUACUAGAUAUAUUAAUUUCAGCCAAGGUUCAUCAUGCUGGUGGCAUGUUGGUAACGAUUCCUAAGAGACUUACCUUGUAAAUUGAGAGAUACACCAUUUUCUAUGUUGCAUUCUUCUGCAAUAUAUAGAUGUAAGAGUGCCAUACCUAGAUUCCAUGAUUCCGCGCUUAGCUGCUUCCACUUGGAAAAGUUCAAUCGGUAUGAUUUUGUUGUCGCUUCCAAGGAAACAGAUUAUUAUUGUAGUUGUACAUUAGAAUGGCAAGAUUUUUUAUUUUAUUUUGUUCUUAACACGCUUCAUGUAUGCAUCUGUAACGUUUACUUGUGCGUAUCUAGAUGUUUAUAUUCAUAAAGUUUUCUGUUCCAUGAUGGAGCUAUAUAAUUAGUAAAUCGCUUGUGAAAUUCUCAGAGCGAUAAUUAUCUUCAGUUACCUUGUAGCAUAGUGAUAUUGAGUUUCAAUGUGUAUGUUGUCAUCGGAAUAAAGGAGGAUUCAGGUGAGAGACUAUCAACCUGCAUAUGGCUGAUGAUUGUUUUAAAUACCACAACGAAGCCUUAUUCCACUAAGUGCAAUCGACUGUAUGAAUUAUUUGAAAUCAGCCAAUUAACCCUUUACCGUCAGAUUCGAUGAAAUUUCAUCCACUUUGCCAUCAAAUACUGGCAUGACUUAACCCUAAGUCUAAAUCAGGUGCUGGUAUUUGACGGCAAAGUGGAUGAAUUUCAUCAAAUCUGAUGGUGAGGCGUUAAAAUUGGCUAAUUUCAUAUAGCUGAGGGAGUUAAUUUACCAAAAAAAAAAUAGUUUUAAGGGUCAGUUUCAGCUAGAGUAAUAGUUUAGGAGGUCUAACGGCAGUUUACUCUUUUGGAGCUUGAUGUAUAGACGAGAGUGUACGCUAGCUGUUAGCUCGUACAUGAACAUAAAUUUGUUAACCAUUAUUACAUGAUUUCUGAUAAUUUCAGCAAAUUGCACAAAGUUUGGAAUAAAAAUCCAUAUAGAAUAAGUAAUGUACGGUCUGCUCGAUAACUACUUAGUUUUUAGUUUUCAUGUUUUGGUUAGAUAUAAAAAGCAAAUACGAGGGAGAAUGAGAGAUGAAUAAGGAAUGUAUGAUGAGUUGCGGGAAGGAUGCAGAACAAAUGCACAUGGUGAUCCUCAUUUCAGUAAGAAAAGAAAACUUCAUAUGCAUUUCAUUUGUCACAAGUGGUAAGUAUAUAAAUCUAAAAUUUUGUAUUAGACUUGCGGAGUUUACAGUUGCAAUGACGUCUAGGCCGGAUGAACUGCGAUUUUCUGUUGGUUUCGGCAUCUGCAUUAUACACGUUCAAGCGCUAAUAAGUUAACAAGUUUAACAUGGUGUGGUGUGAAAAAUCGACCAAGGAGCUAAGCUAACCAAGGACUUGGUAAGAAAGAAGUACAUAAUCUUAUUGGUUGGAAUUAAGCUGAUGGUCGACGUUACAUCAACAUUACAUCCGAAUAGUUUGAUGCUUUCUUAAAACUCUCAAAAGAGAGCACCAAAAUCCCACGAGGUGCCAAACUAAGUAACAGAAAACCAUAUCGCGGAGUUGGUUAAGAGGGUUUAUUCUUGCACACGACUCCUCUCGAAAUCCAAAUGCGAAAUGCGAACCCAAAACUUGCACGGUUAUGUAAUGCUACUAACAAAGUUGACCAAGUUUCUGGUGGACGAACCGGUCUCUCCCAAAGCAGCCGAAGCCAUCUCCCCAAGUUUCUUGCACCUCUCUCUAAGCACUCUUCCUCCUUCCGACUCCAUCAACUCCCUCACUCUCCUCUCCACUUCUUCCCCGCUCACGAACCCACCUUCCUCGUCUCUCUGCUCCACCCCGAUCGCGAUUUCCAUGUCCGUCACUAGAACAUUCCUGUUCAUAUGCUGCUCCGCGUAAAGCGGCCAAGCAAUCAUCGGCACCCCCGCAACCACUGCUUCCAGUACCGAGUUCCAUCCGCAAUGUGUCACGAACCCACCAACCGACUCCUUCUUCAACACCACCACCUGCGGCGCCCAUGACUUCACUACCAUCCCCCUGUCUGCCGUCCUCUCCAAAAACCCUUCUGGCAACACACCCUUCAAAUCAAAGUCGUCAACUCCAUGGACCUGCUUUGAUUUCUCUUCAACCGGCGGCUUCUUCACCACCCACAGGAACCUCUGCCCGCUCGCCUCCAACCCGUUCGCUAUCUCCUUCAGUUGAGCAGCCGGAAAUGAUCCCAUGCUUCCGAAACAGAGAAACAGCACGCUUCGACUUGGCUGCUUAUCGAGCCAUGACAAGCAGUCCUCCUUCUCGGCCGCAUCUGCAUCCUUACUCAAUUCUUUCUCUUCCUCAAUCAAUGGACCAACGUAGUACACGGGCGGAGUUGGCCCAUCAGGAACACACAGGCCUCCAGCAAUGGCCUGGAGGACGCUAGGUGGCUCGAGCUCUUCGAACGUGUUGACGAUGAUUCCGUUGGAUUUGGGAAGAUGUGAGCAGAAAUAGAUCAUGUCCGAAUAAGCAGGGUCGUUCCGGUCGAGCACCAGUUGGACCAUGUGUGUAGCCUUCAGAGGAGACUUCCAUCCGGGGAAUUCGAAAACGGUGUCGCGGAGGUCUUUGAAACUCUCGGUGGUUUUGGUUUGCUCAUCGAUCUUGGGCAAAUACAAAAAAGCAGCAAGAAUUGCGGCACCAGAAGUGCAGAAGUAGUAUGUUGGGAUGUUGAAUUCCUUCCCUAUGGGAAGAGCGGAGGUGCAGAAGAGGUCGAUGAUGAAGGCGCGAACGGUGGCGGAUUUAGAGAUUUCUUGGAGGGCACUGCGGACAUGAGGAUCGUUCUGGCGGAUGAAGUCGAACGUGAUUGCGGGGACGCUUAUGUUUCGGGUAAUAUUAUUGGUGACGCGAGGGAAUUGGCGGAAGGAAAUGAAAGGGUGGGAGUGGGAGAUGCGGCGGAUGUAGACGGGGAUGCUAGCGGUGUCGACAAUGCUGCCGCAGGUGUAGAGAAUGGUGAUGGAGAAUUUGUGGGGGCCGUAGCGGUGGACAAUGAACUUGCCCAGCUCCACCAUGGCGACGAUGUGCCCCAUCCCUGGAGAUGCGUACAGUACAAUGACGUCUCCCAUGGCGGCAGCUGCGACUGGUGGUGGUGGUUAUGAUUUGUUUGUGUGUCGCGUUUUGUACUGCAAUUUAAAGUGAUUUGAGAACAGAAAUUCAACCGAAGAGAAAUAAUGUAGGUGAAUGGCAGGUGCGCCCCAACUAAUUUGUUAGGAGGAAAACACUAGUCAACCAAAACGACAAGGAAGUUGACCAUGAUUUGUUUGUCUUUUUAUUUAUUUUUUUAUUUUUUUAUCUUGUUUUCUAGUAUAGUAUUACGAUUGGUCACGAGAUGUGCCACGUAUCUGAUUUAUGCUGUUUGAGAUAAGAGUCUUUUUUUGUUAUUUAUUAUUGCAGCCUACUGAUUAAGUUUGUGAGCGUCUGUUGUAUUUUGGGGUGCUAUUCUCAUUUUACUUGGACCUUUUACUUUCUCUAUUGUUUAUCGGGUUCAUUUUGGACCUUAUGCUCAUUUUGGGCCUUAUUUUGAUGCCGCGGCAGCGAUGGUCUGAUUUAUGUUAUUUGAGAUUGGAGUAUUUUUAAUAUUUAUUAUUGCAACCUAUCGAUUAAGUUUGUAAGGGUCUCUCGUUGUAUCUUGGGUUGCCAUUCUCACUUUCCUUUGACCUUUUACUUUAUCUGUUGUUUAUCAGGUUCAUUUUGGCCUUAUACUAAUUUUGGUUGUAAUGAAAGUUCUAUCGACCAAUUAAAAAUGUGAAAACAUAAGAGUCUUUUUUGUUAUUUAUUAUUGCAGCCUACUGAUUAAGUUUGUGAGGAUCUCCCGUUGUAUUUUAGGUUGCCAUUCUCAUUUUACUUGGACCUUUUACUUUAUCUGUUGUUUAUCGGGUUCAUUUUGGGCCUUAUUUUGAUGCGGCGGUAGCGAUGGUCUGAUUUAUUUUGUUUAAGAUUAGAGUAUUUUUGUUAUUUAUUAUUGCAGCCUACCGAUUAAGUUUGUAAGGGUCUCCCGUUGUAUCUUGGGUUGCUAUUCUCACUUUACUUUGACCUUUUACUUUAUCUGUUGUUUAUCAGGUUCAUUUUGGUCAAGAGAUGUGCCACGUAUCUGAUUUAUGCUGUUUGAGAUAAGAGUCUUUUUUUGUUAUUUAUUAUUGUAGCCUACUGAUUAAGUUUGUGAGGGUCUUCCGUUGCAUUUGAGGUUGCUAUUCUCAUUUUACUUGGACCUUUUACUUUCUCUAUUGUUUAUCGGGUUCAUUUUGGGCCUUAUACUAAUUUUGGUUGUAAUGAAAGUUCUAUCGACCAAUUAAAAAUGUGAAAACAUAAGAGUCUUUUUUGUUUUUAUUAUUGCAGCCUACUGAUUAAGUUUGUGAGGAUCUUCCGUUGUAUUUUGGGUUGCUAUUCUCAUUUUACUUGGACCUUUUACUUUAUCUGUUGUUUAUCGGGUUCAUUUUGGGCCUUAUUUUGAUGCGGCGGCAGCGAUGGUCUGAUUUAUGUUGUUUGAGAUUAGAGUAUUUUUGUUAUUUAUUAUUGCAGCCUACUGAUUAAGUUUGUAAGGGUCUCCCGUUGUAUCUUGGGUUGCUAUUCUCACUUUACUUUGACCUUUUACUUUAUCUGUUGUUUAUCAGGUUCAUUUUGGGCCUUAAACUAAUUUUGGUUGUAAUGAAAGUUCUAUCGACCAAUUAAAAAUGUGAAAACAUAAGAGCUAAUCGAGUUUCUAGAGAAGGGAGGAUUAAAUUGAGUUUUAGUGGAUGAAGUGUGAUCAAACCGAGUUUUAUGAAGCGUAGCCAAAUUAAACCUAUGAUAUUACAUUUUUACCCAUCCACAUCAGAAAGAAAAUAAAAAAAUAAAAACAUAGUAAAAUCGAACAAAUUUUAAUUUUCAUAGGGUAAAGUUGUGAUUUUUGAAUUACAUUGAGCGUAUUAUCAAAAUUAAAUUCUAUAAAGCGUAACUAAACAUAAGUUACAUAACCCAUACAUUUUAAGUUGGUCAAUUUUUUUAUUUUCAUUUUUUAAUAUACCUUAAAGUAAUUAUUAAAUUAUUCCAAUCCAAUCUUUUUACUAAGAGUAACUACACCUCUAAAUUAUCUAUGGACUAUUACUCUCUAAGUUAUUGAGGAAGGCAGUGAACAGUAACUACCAAAAUGCAUUUUCACCUCUAAACUGAAUAAUUCAGGCAAUUCAUAUUAAAAUAUGAAUUUGUUUAUAAAAUAAUAAAAUAUUUUUUUAUUUUUAAUUUCGGAUAUGAGUGGAUCGAACCAUCUUCCAAAGUUCUUGUAACUUCUGCUUAUUACCCAUAAUCAAAACAUGAUGUGCCCCAUCCCUAGAGCUGCGUACAGCACAAUGGCGUCUCCCAUGGCGGCAGCUGCUACUGCUGGUGGUGGUUAUGAUCGAGGUCUAAAUAUCGAUAUUAUCCCGAUAUUUUCAUCGAAAUUUUCGUGUUUUUGGACUACCGAUAUUUCCGAUAUCAUCGAUAUUUUAGACCUUGAUAGGAACUCUAUGUGGUAUUAAGUCACUCAUGUAUCUUACCAUGAAAUGUAUAAAGUAUAAAAGAUUGUACUAAUUCAUUAUAUAUAAAUGAUUACGGUGUGUUUAAACAUCUUUCAUUAAUUACUACAUAUUUUCUACACUCACAAUGUUUCCCAGCUCACUAUAUAAUCAACUUAAAUCAAUUAAAUCCAUCAUGCAAUGCAUUUCCUUCCAAUUUUUUGUGAUAAACUAUUAGAUAAUUGACUAAAUAAAUAUCCUGCAAAGUUUCAAUAAAUUUUUUUAAGUUUUUCUUAUAAUUUCCGUGGUUUUUAUUCAAUUUUUAUCGAUAUCGAUAAUAUCCCGAUAUUUCCAUCGAAAUUUCCGUAUUUUUAGAUUACCAAUAUUUCCGAUAUCAUCUAUAUUUUAUACCUUGGUUAUGAUUUGCUUGUGUAUCGCGUUUUGUGCCGCAAUUUGAAGUGAUUGAGAACAGAAAUUCAACUGAAGAGAAAUAAUGUUGGUGAAUGGCAGGUGCGCCCCAACUAAUUUGUUAAGAGGAAAACACUAGUCAAUCAAAACGACAAGGAAGUUGACCACGAUUUGUUUGUCUUUUUAUGUGUUAUUUUUAUUCUUUAUCUUGUUUUUCUAAUAUAGUAUUACGAUUGGUCAAGAGAUGUGCCACGUAUCUUUCUUUUUAGCCAUGAAUUGAAUAAAACAUUUGUGGAUAACAAUUGUUAAAUUCAUACAUUUGUCACUUAGUUUAAUUACGAUUGUCUCAACUUUUAUUUAGGGCCAUAAGAUGUGGCGGUAACGGCGGUCUGGUUUAUACUGCUUGAGGUUAUGAUUUUUUUGUUGUUUGUUAUCAUGGUUUACGAGUUUAAGUUUGUGAAGGUUUUUGUUGUAUUUUGGGUUGCUAUGUGGGGCGCAACCAAGUUGAUGCGGGAGUUGAUUCUGAUGUGAAGGUCUUCUGUUGUAUCUUGUGUUGCUAUGUGGGGCGCAACCAAGUUGAUGCGGGAGUUGAUUCUGAUGAGAGGGUGGGAGUCGUUGACGACAACCAAGGCUAAUUUGGUGUCUGGAGGUAUAGUAAUUCAACCAAUUCAAAAUAAACCUUGUGAGCAGAGAGCAUAGUGCAUUGUCCCAAUGUACUUGUAUUUUCGUUUAAUAAACGUAGUUUUCAUCUUUCAGUUAUGCUCAUAGCAAAGGUGUUUUAGGUUAAGAUAAUUUAUGCUUCGAUGCGUAAUUUAAACAGUAUUAUGACACUUUUAACGGCUUACAAGGACGAAUCACUCGUAAGAUCACACAGUAUGCCCAUGUUCAUUCCGAAGCUUCGUCACCUUCUAUGGAAGAACUAACGGCUUCAAAUGAUCGAAGGCUAGUCCUUUCUUGUAGGGAUAUUUCAAAAUGCUUGACAGAUUCUAUUAGAUUUUUUACAGUAGAAGGUUCACUGAGAAGGUACAGAUUCUUUGAUGUUUGCAUUCCUUACACAUGAGCCAACUUUUUGGUUCAGCAAAACAAGCAUUCUUUUGGUCAAUGACACAUCUCAACAUCUUUUAUUUGGUUACCAAACGGGAUCGAUCCAAGAAUGAUUCUAAAUGAGAGUGAGCCUUGACGUUAUGAACAUGUUGCUCCUCGGUGAAAUAUGUUGAAACAACCCAUUUGCAAAAAUGAAGUAAGACUGCCUACGAUAGACGUUACCCAACCCUCGCAAUGCGGAGAACCUUGUUAGUUUAGGGUGUUGAUUCAUUCACACGCAGUCUGUGUUAGAAUCUGGACUAAGAUGAAGGAUCGGAUACCCUCAUCCAGGCGAAAAAGAAAGGAAAAACACAGAAGAUGUAGCCAGCGUUAAUUCAUGUAACUUCACAUAAGAACAAGUGCAGCAGUCUGACUCCAUAUCUUUCAUUACAGCUAUGGUACAAGUAUCAUAUCGAAAGUUACCAAAAACAUCAACUUUACAAACAAAUAAUUAUCUGCGACAAGCAAAGAGAUUCUCCGAAUCCAAGUCCUUAUCAACAGCAUGAACUGGGGAGGUGCUGGGCAAG
rnacentral:lncRNA from 1 species